rnacentral:miRNA from 1 species
GGUUGGCCAAAAAGUUCGUUGGAGUUUUUCCGUAACAUCUUAUGGAAAAACCCGAAUGAGCUUUUUGGCCAACC